rnacentral:rRNA from 13 species
CGUAAUGGUAAUUCAACUUAGUUCGAGAGGAACCGUUGAUUCAGAUACUUGGUAUUGGCGCUUGGCUGAGAAGCUAUCGGCGCGAAGCCACCAUCUGCCGGAUUAUGGCUGAACGCCUCUAAGCCAGAAGCCCUGCUAGAAACGACGAUUCA